ACCCGCACCCGCACCGGCGAGCUAACUCCGGCGCCUCAUCGUUCUGCCCCUGUCUCGCGCCGCUGUCUGCCGGUACUCUCUUGCCUGUGGGGAGCGGCGACUUCGCUGCUUGCAUUCUUCUGGCUUCUUUAGAGUGUGCUUGCUUUGUAUUAGGGCCCAGAGGCUCUGAAAGAGUGCAGUUCCAACAGAAAGAGAUUUGGGGUGGAGGAAGUAAAACGUGUGUAGGACCAGCAGGUGGUGCUGCUCAAAAAUCCAGCUUUGCUAUCCUGAGGAAGCUCUGGGGCGCCUAGCUGAGUUUCGGCUUAAAGAUCCCUUAGCAAAAGUACUGCUUGUUCCCUUUCAAGAAAAAAAAUGGGGAGGGGGGGGACGGAGGGGAGAGAGUACUGUAGGACUUUCCAAUUUGUUCUCCUUUUUAAUGGUUGAGCAAUUUAAUCGGGGAAAAAAUGAGUAUUAGUUUUCUUUUGAAACCCCACCCUUUUUUUAAAAAAAACAGAAUAGUGCCUGAGAAACUGAAGAAAUUAAUCUGCAUGAUAAUCUAAAAUUAAAGAGGUUAUUUUGAUCGCAAGCCUGUGGUUUUAAACAUCAGAACUCUAGCAGUAAUUCACCAUUUUAGCAUGUACAUUUCCUUUUUCAGAACUGAUUAAAUUUUCCUAAUUUGUAGGAAAAUGAAGAGGGUGGAAGAGCAGACCUUUUAUCUUUAGAAGAGUAUGUAUUUCAACAUUCUAUGACAGCGUCUUCUCAUUUGCAUUAGUGUUGCAUUUUGGGAUUUCAUUAACUGUUUGAUUCAGGAUUGGAAGUUUUCAGUGUCCUUAUAGGUAUAGAAAUGUAUAUGUUUUCUGUUAUUCCUCUGAAAUCAGUUUAUUUCAGGGUUCUCAUUCAUAUAUAUCAAUAUGUAACCCAAUCUCUUGAAGGGUGCAUCUAGUUCAGUGAUGCUUGCGCGUGUAUGCAAUACUGUUCCAUACAUGUAGAAAUAUUGAAGUGUAUAUCCUUUAACUUUAAGCUUAGUUUUCUAUCUUUAUCUUCUUAUUAGCCACUCAGUUUUGUCCCUCUAUCCUACACAGCCCAUGAACAGAGAAUAGCUAAAAUUUGAUAUGUACUCGAAGAUUCCAGCUUGAAGAGGUAAUGCUAAUAUUAACUAACAAUGUGCCAGGUGUUGCUCUAAGUGCUUUAUUCAUAUAUACCCACUUAAUUCUCAUAAUAAACUAUGAGGUAGGCACUAUUAUUAUUCCCAUUUUACAGAGAGAGAGACACACACAGCUGAGAUUUGAAUCCAGGCACAGACUGUAAGAUGUCAGCUAGUUCAACCCCUUCUCACUCAUACCCAAGGUCUUUGUAUUUCAGUAAAUGGUUGCAUCUUUCCUUGUUCAAACCCACCUUUAACUCCUCUCUUUUAUGUCUUAUAUGCAUUUGGCAUAUAACCUGUUGGCUCUUCCUUCAAAGUAUAUCCAACUACUUACCACCUCCGCUACAAUCUGCAUCAUCUCUUGUUUGGAUUAUAGUGUUACGGUAGACCAGGAACUAGUCUUUUGACUCUAUCCUUAAUACAGAAUCCUAAAUAAAUCUACUUAAAAAGAAGUGAGAUCGUACCACUCCUUUGCUCAAAGUCUCCUGUGGCUUCCCAACACAAGUAAAAACCAAAGUCCUAACGAUGGCUUUAAAAUCCUCCCCUCAUUACCUCUUUGACCCCACAGACUGUUUACCCAGCUUUGUAUUCCCAGAAAGCUCUCCACAAGCUGCCAACCUCAUAGUCUUUGCAGUUGUGGUUUCCUCUGCUUAGAACACUCUUCCCCAUCAUGCUCCCUCCAUAUGUGCUCAGAUGUCCAACUCUUCAGUCAGUCCCUCUACUUGUCAGCAUAUUUUAAGUCAUGAUGUUUCCAUUCCCAAUAUUUCAUAUUUCCUCCUUUACUUUUUAAUACUUAUCACAGUGUAAUGGAUAAUUUAUUUUACUUACUAAUCUUCAUCAUAUUUCUCAUCACAUUAGGACGCAAGACACAGGAGGCCAGGAAUGUGUGUUCUGUUUUGUAUCUCAACUGCCAGGAAUAGUGCCUGACACACUUAAAGAGGUUCUCUGUAAAUAUGUGUUACAUGAAUGAGUAAAUGAAUGAAUGAAUGAAUGAAUACACACAUGGCCGGGCAGUAGCUCACGCCUGUAAUCCCAGGACUUUAGGAGGCCGAAGUGGGCGGAUCACGAGGUCAGUAGAUCAAGACCACCGUGGCUAACACAGUGAAACCCUGUCUCUACUAAAAACACAAAAAAAUUAGCUGGGCAUGGUGGCACGCGCCUGUAAUCCCAGCUACUCGGGAGGCUGAGGCAGGAGAAUCGCUUGAACCUGGGAGGCGGAAGUUGCCCGAGAUCGUGUCACUGCACUCCAGCCUGCACUGCAACAGAGCAAGACUCCGUCUCAAAAAAACCCCAAAAACCACAUUUGUGUAUGUGAGUGUGUAUAUAUAUCCCC
rnacentral:lncRNA from 10 species